rnacentral:tRNA from 1 species
GCUGGGAUAGCUCAGUUGGUCAGAGCAACGGUUUUGUAAACCGUGGGUCGCGAGUUCGAAUCUCGCUCCCAGCU